GGCUUUUAUUUGUUUAAAGGAAACCUCCAUCCAUGUACACGAUAACUAUGAUGAAUUGGCAGGUGAACUCAAACAACGUUUAUGACCACGCCGGAGAAACUCGACCAAAAACUGUUGGAGUCGCAAACGGAAGCUCGUCGGCUCGACUCGAAUCUAUGGUGGCAUUUUGAACGAUUUCGAAGCUGCUUUGGGGUGAUUUUCAGCUACAACUAACAACAUUUUUGGGAUGAAGAUGAUGAUGAUGUUUGGACGAAUUUGAGGGUAGCCAUGGGACUGAUUUUUGGAGCUACUGUUACUGAUUUUUCAUGGUUAAACGGAGAUUUACAACUAGUUUAGGGAAGGUUUUGGGUGAAUUUUCAGGUGAAAAAGGGUUGUUGAAGGAUGAUUUUGGAGCUCAUUUUCGCUGGUUACAGGUGCGAUUUUUGCUGUUGUUUUGGUGUCCUUUUAGCUAGUUUUCAUGGGUAUUUUGGAGUAGUGUUCAUGGAUGAUGGGGCUGGUUUUCAUGGUUGUUUGAUAGUGUUUUGGAUGGAAAGAUGAGGGGUUUUGGUCAGCGAUUUUGAGGAAAAGAAAUCAAGGAGAGGUCCGCUCGGUUUUUGUUAAGGAGCAGCCAUGGUUAGGUUGUUCAAUCAUAGAAAAAAUGGUUGCUUCCUUGUUUGCUGGAGAA
rnacentral:lncRNA from 1 species